rnacentral:rRNA from 1 species
CCUACGGGUGGCAGCAGUGGGGGAUAUUGCACAAUGGGGGGAACCCUGAUGCAGCGACGCCGCGUGGGUGAAGAAGCGCCUCGGCGCGUAAAGCCCUGUCAGCAGGGAAGAAAAUGACGGUACCUGAAGAAGAAGCCCCGGCUAACUACGUGCCAGCAGCCGCGGUAAUACGGAGGGGGCAAGCGUUAUCCGGAUUUACUGGGGGUAAAGGGGGCGCAGACGGCAGUGCAAGUCAGGAGUGAAAGCCCGGGGCUUAACCCCGGAACUGCUUUUGAAACUGUGUGGCUGGAGUGCAGGAGAGGUAGGCGGAAUUCCUGGUGUAGCGGUGAAAUGCGUAGAGAUCAGGAGGAACACCGGUGGCGAAGGCGGCCUGCUGGACUGCAACUGACGUUGAGGCCCGAAAGCGUGGGGAGCAAACAGGAUUAGAUACCCCUGUAGUC